AUGUCAAAUGCAGUAGAUGCAAACAAAUUGACUGGCAAAAGCUGUAGCAGGAUGGCACCACCUAAAUACCAGGAAUUGGCGGUCCACAAGUGCCAAUCAAAAAGGUUCAGAGAUGAGAAAAUUCAGAGCUUAGAACAGAAGGGAUGCAGGGAGAGGAAGCGAGGGGUUCGUCGCGGCGGACCGGCGGCGCGCCGUGCGCACGCGCGCAAGGCGACGGCGGCAACAGCCCUGCCGGCCGGCCGGCGCAGUGGCUGUGACGGCGGCCCGGCAGUUCGUGUGCGAUCUGCGGAUGCGGCUAUGGCGGAGCAGCGGAGGGGAGGUGCUGGUUCGUCUCGCGUCUAA
rnacentral:rRNA from 1 species